AUAUUCAAGCAAGAUUUUUGACACAGUUACUUUGAAAUACAACAAAGUUCAAAGUUAAAAUAGAACUCAACAACAACAAUAACGGACAUUUGUGGAUCAAGGGAUGCAGUGUUUGUAGGGAGAGAGUGACAAGGUCUUGCCAGAAACAUGAUGCCUUCUGUAAUUUUCCUCCCACCAGAGUGACCCCAUGAUCUAGAGUGAAUCUUGCAGAACAUACCAGGUAUGCAGUCCCUAAAGUCUUUUUUCCCCCUAUGGUGAGGGUGACUGGCUAAUAUCUUUGUAAGUCUAUCAAAGCAAAUUUUUUUGU
ensembl:lincRNA